rnacentral:tRNA from 1 species
CGGGACGUGGCGCAGUUUGGUAGCGCGCCUGCUUUGGGAGCAGGGUGUCGCAGGUUCAAAUCCUGUCGUCCCGACCA